UACGUAGGGUGCGAGCGUUAAUCGGAAUUACUGGGCGCAAAGCGUGCGCAGGCGGUUUUGUAAGCCAGAUGUGAAAGCCCCGGGCUUAACCUGGGAAUGGCAUUUGGGACUGCAAGGCUUGAGUGCGGCAGAGGAGACUGGAAUUCCUGGUGUAGCAGUGAAAUGCGUAGAUAUCAGGAGGAAUACCGAUGGCGAAGGCAGGUCUCUGGGCUGACACUGACGCUCAUGCACGAAAGCGUGGGGAGCAAACAGG
rnacentral:rRNA from 1 species